rnacentral:rRNA from 1 species
AUUGUACGCUGGCGGCAGGCUUAACACAUGCAAGUCGAACGAGGUGUUGGGGCUUGCUCUAACACCUAGUGGCGAACGGGUGAGUAAUACUUGGGGAUCUGCCUCGUAGCGGGGGAUAACGUUUCGAAAGGAACGCUAAUACCGCAUACGUCCUACGGGAGAAAGCAGGGGAUCUUCGGACCUUGCACUAUGAGAUGAGCCCAAGCGAGAUUAGCUAGUUGGUAAGGUAAAGGCUUACCAAGGCGACAAUCUCUAGCUGGUCUGAGAGGAUGAUCAGCCACGCUGGAACUGAAACACGGUCCAAACUCCUACGGGAGGCAGCAGUGGGGAAUAUUGGACAAUGGGCGAAAGCCUGAUCCAGCCAUGCCGCGUGUGUGAAGAAGGCCUUAGGGUUGUAAAGCACUUUAAGCGAGGAGGAAUGGCUGAGGGUUAAUAACCUUCAGCAGUGACGUUACUCGCAAAAUAAGCACCGGCUAACUCUGUG